UCGGGAAUUUUGGGCAAUGGGCGAAAGCCUGACCCAGCAACGCCGCGUGAAGGAUGAAGUAUUUCGGUAUGUAAACUUCGAAAGAAUAGGAAGAAUAAAUGACGGUACUAUUUAUAAGGUCCGGCUAACUACGUGCCAGCAGCCGCGGUAAUACGUAGGGACCAAGCGUUGUUCGGAUUUACUGGGCGUAAAGGGCGCGUAGGCGGCAAUUCAAGUCAUCUGUGAAAUCUCCGGGCUUAACUCGGAACGGUCAGAUGAUACCGCUUUGCUAGAGUGCAGAAGGGGCAAUCGGAAUUCUUGGUGUAGCGGUGAAAUGCGUAGAUAUCAAGAGGAACACCUGAGGUGAAGACGGGUUGCUGGGCUGACACUGACGCUGAGGCGCGAAAGCCAGGGGAGCAAACGGGAUUAGAUACCCAUGUAGUCCCUGAGCGGGCUGGCAAGGCGCAU
rnacentral:rRNA from 1 species